AGCAGCCGCGGUAAUUCCAGCUCCAAUAGCGUAUAUUAAAGUUGUUGCAGUUAAAAAGCUCGUAGUUGAAUUUCGGGGUUCUACCGUUGGUCGGGCUAACCAGUCUGUACUAGCGUGUAGAAUCCCUACCUUCUGGGGAACCAUCAUGUUAUUAAUUUAGCGUGGUGGGAAACCAGGACCUUUACCUUGAAAAAAUUAGAGUGUUCAAAGCAGGCUUACGUCUGAAUACAUUAGCAUGGAAUAAUAAAAUAGGACGGUGGUCCUGUUUUGUUGGUUUCUGAAUCACCGUAAUGAUUAAUAGGGAUAGUUGGGGGCAUUAGUAUUCAAUUGUCAGAGGUGAAAUUCUUGGAUUUAUUGAAGACUAACUUCUGCGAAAGCAUUUGCCAAGGAUGUUUUCAUUAAUCAAGAACGAAAGUUAGGGGAUCGAAGACGAUCAGAUACCGUCGUAGUCUUAACCAUAAACUAUGCCGACUAGGGAUCGGACGAUGUUAAAUUUUAUUGACUCGUUCGGCGCCUUUAC
rnacentral:rRNA from 1 species